rnacentral:rRNA from 1 species
AGAGUUUGAUCAUGGCUCAGAUUGAACGCUGGCGGCAGGCCUAACACAUGCAAGUCGAACGGUAACAGGAAACAGCUUGCUGUUUCGCUGACGAGUGGCGGACGGGUGAGUAAUGUCUGGGAAACUGCCUGAUGGAGGGGGAUAACUACUGGAAACGGUAGCUAAUACCGCAUAACGUCGCAAGACCAAAGAGGGGGACCUUCGGGCCUCUUGCCAUCGGAUGUGCCCAGAUGGGAUUAGCUUGUUGGUGGGGUAACGGCUCACCAAGGCGACGAUCCCUAGCUGGUCUGAGAGGAUGACCAGCCACACUGGAACUGAGACACGGUCCAGACUCCUACGGGAGGCAGCAGUGGGGAAUAUUGCACAAUGGGCGCAAGCCUGAUACAGCCAUGCCGCGUGUAUGAAGAAGGCCUUCGGGUUGUAAAGUACUUUCAGCGGGGAGGAAGGGAGUAAAGUUAAUACCUUUGCUCAUUGACGUUACCCGCAGAAGAAGCACCGGCUAACUCCGUGCCAGCAGCCGCGGUAAUACGGAGGGUGCAAGCGUUAAUCGGAAUUACUGGGCGUAAAGCGCACGCAGGCGGUUUGUUAAGUCAGAUGUGAAAUCCCCGGGCUCAACCUGGGAACUGCAUCUGAUACUGGCAAGCUUGAGUCUCGUAGAGGGGGGUAGAAUUCCAGGUGUAGCGGUGAAAUGCGUAGAGAUCUGGAGGAAUACCGGUGGCGAAAGCGGCCCCCUGGACGAAGACUGACGCUCAGGUGCGAAGCGUGGGAGCAAACAGGAUUAGAUACCCUGGUAGUCCACG